rnacentral:piRNA from 1 species
UGCAAGCCAGCAUCUCUUUGCAACAAAGU